UACGUAGGGGGCAAGCGUUGUCCGGAUUUAUUGGGCGUAAAGAGCGUGUAGGCGGCCAGGUAGGUCUGCUGUGAAAACUCGAGGCUUAACCUCGAGCUGUCGGCGGAAACCAUCUGGCUAGAGUCCGGAAGAGGAGAAUGGAAUUCCCGGUGUAGCGGUGAAAUGCGCAGAUAUCGGGAAGAACACCCGUGGCGAAGGCGGUUCUCUGGGACGGGACUGACGCUGAGACGCGAAAGCGUGGGGAGCGAACAGG
rnacentral:rRNA from 1 species